rnacentral:lncRNA from 1 species
UUUUGGAAAAUAACAAUAAAAAAUUAUAUAAAACUGAGUCAAAAAAAAAUACAUGAAUUUAACCAUCGAGUUAUUCCAAAAUCGUCGCGGAUAUUGUGAAUGCAACAACAACACUGAACACGAAACAAUUGCCGCGAGAGUUGAUCGAAGACUAUUUUAAGUGCAAUGGUUUCACACGCUCAUUACUCAAAGCCGAUUGGAGCAGAGAGCUGCAGGAGUUUCCCGCUCUAUAAGCAAUUAUUUGCAUAUCCCUAAUCAUGAGCUUGCUUGGCUGGGCUUGGUUCAUUUAUGAGCCGAAAACCGCAUUGAGCGGUUGCUGUACAUGUUGCUGGAUUGUGUCCUUUAAGUAGCAUCCCAAUAGGAACUGCUUACACAGCAAAGCAUUCUGCUCCCUAACUCGUAGCAUAGAUGCUUUCCUGUGCAAGUGAUGCUCCGGCGAGAUCAGGAGGUGUC